AACGAACGCUGGCGGCAUGCCUAACACAUGCAAGUCGAACGAAGCCUUCGGGCUUAGUGGCGCACGGGUGCGUAACGCGUGGGAAUCUGCCCUUGGGUUCGGAAUAACAGUUAGAAAUGACUGCUAAUACCGAAUGAUGUCUUCGGACCAAAGAUUUAUCGCCCAAGGAUGAGCCCGCGUCGGAUUAGCUAGUUGGUGAGGUAAAGGCUCACCAAGGCGACGAUCCGUAGCUGGUCUGAGAGGAUGAUCAGCCACACUGGGACUGAGACACGGCCCAGACUCCUACGGGAGGCAGCAGUGGGGAAUAUUGGACAAUGGGCGAAAGCCUGAUCCAGCAAUGCCGCGUGAGUGAUGAAGGCCUUAGGGUUGUAAAGCCU
rnacentral:rRNA from 1 species